CCCUGUGCUGUAGUCAGCUGCACUAAGGACACAGUGUAGACAUGAGAGCUCUCAUUCAACUCCUGAGUUUCCUGGUUCUCUGGCUCCCAGGUGCUCAGUGUGACAUCCAGAUGACCCAGAACCAAGUUUCUCUGUCUGCUUUCAUAGGAGAAAAGGUUAUCAUCACUUGCCAGGCCAGUCAAGAUAUUAGUAGAUAUUUAGGCUGGUAUCAACAGAAACCAGGAAAAAGUCCCAAGUUUCUGAUAUAUUAUACAUCCACUUUACUUUCUGGGGUCCCAUCAAGGUUCAGUGGUAGUGGAUAUGGGACAGAGUAUUCUCUCACUAUCAGUGGCAUUCAGCCUGAAGAUGCUGCAACUUACUACUGUCAACAGUGUCACAGUUACCCUCCACAGUGACAGAGAUCAUAACAAAAACU